UGGGUGAUAAGGGCCUAAACUUAGGCUGUUGA
rnacentral:piRNA from 1 species